UGGAGAGUUUGAUCCUGGCUCAGGACGAACGCUGGCGGCGUGCUUAACACAUGCAAGUCGAACGGAAAGGCCCAGCUUGCUGGGUACUCGAGUGGCGAACGGGUGAGUAACACGUGGGUGAUCUGCCCCUGACUCUGGGAUAAGCCUGGGAAACUGGGUCUAAUACCGGAUAUUCAUUUUUCCUCGCAUGGGGAUUGGUGGAAAGCUUUUGCGGUUGGGGAUGGGCCCGCGGCCUAUCAGCUUGUUGGUGGGGUAAUGGCCUACCAAGGCGACGACGGGUAGCCGACCUGAGAGGGUGAUCGGCCACACUGGGACUGAGACACGGCCCAGACUCCUACGGGAGGCAGCAGUGGGGAAUAUUGCACAAUGGGCGCAAGCCUGAUGCAGCGACGCCGCGUGAGGGAUGACGGCCUUCGGGUUGUAAACCUCUUUCAGCUCCGACGAAGCGCAAGUGACGGUAGGAGCAGAAGAAGCACCGGCCAACUACGUGCCAGCAGCCGCGGUA
rnacentral:rRNA from 1 species